CACAUGCUGUAACCGCUCCGAUGGGGUACAAGUUCAUAUGUUGUAUAACGUAUGACACCUACAUUAGGCGAGUCUGAGACAUGAG
rfam:Paenibacillus sp. TI45-13ar contig00001, whole genome shotgun sequence.